rnacentral:rRNA from 1 species
GUUAAGCGACUAAGCGUACACGGUGGAUGCCCUGGCAGUCAGAGGCGAUGAAGGACGUGCUAAUCUGCGAUAAGCGUCGGUAAGGUGAUAUGAACCGUUAUAACCGGCGAUUUCCGAAUGGGGAAACCCAGUGUGAUUCGUCACACUAUCAUUAACUGAAUCCAUAGGUUAAUGAGGCGAACCGGGGGAACUGAAACAUCUAAGUACCCCGAGGAAAAGAAAUCAACCGAGAUUCCCCCAGUAGCGGCGAGCGAACGGGGAGGAGCCCAGAGCCUGAAUCAGUGUGUGUGUUAGUGGAAGCGUCUGGAAAGGCGCGCGAUACAGGGU